ACGUAGGUGGCAAGCGUUGUCCGGAAUUACUGGGCGUAAAGGGCGUGUAGGCGGAUUUUUAAGUCAGGUGUGAAAUCUUUGGGCUCAACCCAGAGAUUGCAUUUGAUACUGGAAGUCUUGAGUGCAGGAGAGGACAGUGGAAUUCCUAGUGUAGCGGUGAAAUGCGUAGAUAUUAGGAAGAACACCAGUGGCGAAGGCGGCUGUCUGGACUGGAACUGACGCUGAGGCGCGAAAGCGUGGGGAGCAAACAG
rnacentral:rRNA from 1 species